rnacentral:rRNA from 1 species
CCUACGGGAGGCAGCAGUGGGGAAUAUUGCACAAUGGACGCAAGUCUGAUGCAGCGACGCCGCGUGGGGGAUGACGGCCUUCGGGUUGUAAACCCCUUUCGCCGGGGACGAAGGGCCCUUUUGGGGGUUUGACGGUACCUGGAGAAGAAGCGCCGGCCAACUACGUGCCAGCAGCCGCGGUAAGACGUAGGGCGCGAGCGUUGUCCGGAAUCAUUGGGCGUAAAGCGCGUGUAGGCGGCCAGAAAAGUCCGCUGUGAAAACUCGAGGCUCAACUUCGAGCUGUCGGUGGAAACUUUCUGGCUAGAGUCCGGAAGAGGAGAAUGGAAUUCCUGGUGUAGCGGUGAAAUGCGCAGAUAUCAGGAAGAACACCCGUGGCGAAGGCGGUUCUCUGGGACGGUACUGACGCUGAGACGCGAAAGCGUGGGGAGCGAACAGGAUUAGAUACCCUGGUAGUCCACGCCGUAAACGAUGGGUGCUAGGUGUGGGGGGUGUCGACUCCCUCCGUGCCGAAGCUAACGCAUUAAGUGCCCCGCCUGGGGAGUACGGCCGCAAGGCUAAAACUCAAAGGAAUUGACGGGGGCCCGCACAAGCGGCGGAGCGUGUGGCUUAAUUCGAUGCAACGCGAAGAACCUUACCUGGGCCUGACAUGUAUGGCAAAGCGGGUGAAAUCCCGUGUUCUUUCCGGGCCUACACAGGUGG